rnacentral:ncRNA from 5 species
GAAAGCCGUAUACUCUGAGAGGAGUACGUACGGUUUGGAGGGGAGUUCUUGGAAACCUAAUAUAGAAAUAUAUUAAGGCGCUGGGUUCUCACCCUAC